UACGUAGGGGGCGAGCGUUGUCCGGAAUUACUGGGCGUAAAGGGCGCGUAGGCGGCCCCGUUAAGUCCGCUGUGAAAGACCGAGGCUCAACCUCGGAGUGUCAGCGGAGACUGUCGGGCUGGAGUCUCGGAGAGGGAUGCGGAAUUCCUGGUGUAGCGGUGAAAUGCGCAGAUAUCAGGAGGAACACCAAUGGCGAAGGCAGCACUCUGGGACGUGACUGACGCUGAGACGCGAAAGCGUGGGGAGCAAACAGG
rnacentral:rRNA from 1 species